CUUUCCGCAGACGGCUGGAGGAAGCCGAGGGACAGGAAAGGCGGUGUCUCCAGCUCAACAACGAAGAAUAAAGUGAUAAGUCUCACAAAAUUAAAGACCCAAUCCAAAAAACGUGUGUAAGAGGAAUAAAGGCCGCAGUAAAAACGCACGUACAGGGAAGGAGGGGGUUUGAAGCAGAGAGGAGAGGCAUGGAAGGUCAUUUUUAACCAGGACUCAUGGGAAAUGAAGAGAACCAAGAGAGAUGGGUCAUCGGGUGGUGGGCCACGGGAUCUUCUCUCCUAACCUGUUGAAAAUAGAC